rnacentral:lncRNA from 1 species
CUUCUUUUAUUUGUCUCAGGAAAUCGUAUGCAGAGCCAAAAUUUGUUCUUAGCGCGGACAACAGAUGGCGCUGACUGCUGUGGCCAUGAAUCAUGACCCAAAUUCAUGAACAAACGUACUGAUGCUAAGCUGAGAUUACAAAUGAAAGUGGAGACAUCAAGAAGGAAAUCAGUCAUGAUGAAAACCCUAUUUGGAAGCAUAUGACAUCAGAUACUUCAAACCACUGAAAGCAGCUUCAAGACAUUGAUAGGAAUGAAAGGAGCCCAUCCUUCCGCUGAUCACAAUUGUAUAAAUAAUUGAUACACGCAGUCACCCAUGGCAUAUUCAAGAAGGGUAGGCUUUUAUCUUUUUUUUGUUUUUGUAUUUGUUUUGGGUAAAAGUAAACACCCAGGAAUUUGGUAAUUUUUCACUUACUAAUAUCCUAUCUUUCUGUAGUUCUGCUUACUAGCCUUCCUUAUGUGUUAUCAUGCUUAACCGCCAUUGCCUUGAUUUUUGGAAAACUGUAAAAUGAUUACUGUUUUGUUAAUGGCAGUAUAAUGAUUAUAGUAGCAGUAAUGAUAAAGGUAAUAGUAGUAAUUGAAAUAGCAUGGUUUGUGGACCAUCUGUGUGUGAACAAAAUAAACAGAAAACUAUA